AACGAACGCUGGCGGCAUGCCUAACACAUGCAAGUCGAACGAUACCUUCGGGUCUAGUGGCGCACGGGUGCGUAACGCGUGGGAACCUGCCCUUAGGUUCGGAAUAACUCCCCGAAAGGGGUGCUAAUACCGGAUAAUGUCUUCGGACCAAAGAUUUAUCGCCUUUGGAUGGGCCCGCGUUGGAUUAGCUAGUUGGUAGGGUAAAAGCCUACCAAGGCGACGAUCCAUAGCUGGUCUGAGAGGAUGAUCAGCCACACUGGGACUGAGACACGGCCCAGACUCCUACGGGAGGAAGCAGGGGGGAAUAUUGGACAAUGGGCGAAAGCCUGAUCCAGCAAGGCCGCGUGAGUGAUGAAGGACUUAGGGUUGUAAAGCUCUUUUAACCGGGAUGAUAAUGACAGUACCGGGAGAAUAAGCUCCGGCUAACUCCGUG
rnacentral:rRNA from 1 species